rnacentral:tRNA from 1 species
AAGGCCUUAGCUUAAUUAAAGUGUCUGUUUUGCAUGCAGAAGAUGUGAAUUAAAGUUUUGCAGGUCUUA